GGGGGGCUUCCUGAGGUGAUGACAUGAAAGCAGGGACCUGAAGGAGGUGAGGACAGAAAGUGCAAAGGCCCUGAGGCAGAAGUGAGCUUGGCUUCUUGAGCAGCAGCUGCCAGGUGGGUUGGCCCUGGUGCUGUAAUGCCAGCUUCACCACACUCCCACGGCUGAGCCACGUCUGCCAGGUGUCUUCCUCUGAAGGGCCCUUCCAAAUGAGGGGUGAUCCCUUGAGACUGCAUACGUGUGGACUUAAUCCCCACAGCAACUUAUGGCAGCUUAAAAUCAUGUCUGUAAAUCUUUGACAUGCUAGCCAAGGGUGAGGACGCACACCUGUAAUCCCAGUUUCGGGAGGCUGAGGCAGGAGGAUCACAAGUUCAAGGACAGCGUGGGAAACUUAGCAAGUCCCUGUCUCAAAAAAUAAAAAAUAAAAAGUACAGGGUGGAGCUCGGUGGUAGAGUGCUCCGGAGGGUCAACCCCCAGUACUGAAGGGGGGACUUUGUCAUCCUAUCUAUCAAGAGAAUCGGGGGCCUGCUAGGGCUGGGAUGUAGCUCGGUUAGUAGAGGGCUUGCCUCACAUGCACACGGCCCUGGGUUCAAUCCUCAGAAACACACACACACACACACAAAAGAAUUGGGGUCUGCCAUCCCCUCUUCUUGAAUCUGAGCUCUGUGCUUGGCUAAUAGAGUGUGUCACAAGUGUCUGUGCCUUUUUUCUGGCUGUGAGGAAUUGGUGGCUUGCACUUUCUGUCUCUCUUGGGACAUGGACUCUUGAAAUCCAGCCACCAUGCCGUGAAGAAGCC
rnacentral:lncRNA from 1 species